CGGCAGCAUACCACGUUUUUACGGGCUUCUAUGCUUUCUACCAACCCUCAUAGUGGCGCCUUCCAAAGGACUGCUGCGAAUGGUCGUCCGCACUGUCGUCAUGCCCAGUCUGCUAUGAGUCGGCGGACUGCUCUCCUUCAGAAAGGUGCUACCGCCGACAUUCAGUUGCCUCUCCCUGCAAGCUUGGUCAGGUUUCUCAAGGCUGCUUGGCCUGGCAGGUCCUACUACGGUGGCCCUUGCCAAAAUUGUGGCGCUUCUUACUGGUAUCAUCAGGAGCGUAAUAAGCGCCUCAGUACAAAGUACCGCCCUUUCUAUACUGGUUGUUGUCGUGCUGGCCGCGUGUCUCUUCCGGUUUAUCCGCAAUGGCCUUCCCCGUUGUCUGACCUUAUGCGUUUUGACGGCGGGUCUCAGUCAGAUCGUUUCAUGCGUCUGAUUCGAGAGUACAAUUCUAUGUUUGCUUUCACAUCUCUCGGUGUUCAUGUUGAUUGAACAGUAAAUGUUGGGAAUGGUCCAUAUGUGUUCAAGAUUGUGGGGUAUGUCUGUCAUGAAAUUGGCUCUUUGUUGCCUCCAGAGGGUGAUCAUGUUCCUAAAUUUGCCCAGCUAUAUAUUUAUGACACCCAAAAUGAAUUGGAUCACAGGAUGGGCAUAUUUAGUCAAGACGAUGAAAAUGGUGAUGCCACUGCCACUGAUGCCCCUUCUGCACCACUUGGUCAGUCUUCAUCUGAUGUUGUUGGUCAGCGGCGUCGAAGAGAAGAGCUAUCUGGAGAUAGCUUCGAUGCUUCUGCCCCACGGCCAGCCCGGUGUCAGCGGCGGCGUAGGGAGGAACCUGGUCCUGUUAUUGUGCAAUCUCUAACUACGAUGCUCAAUGGGUGCAACUGUCUUGUGCAGACAUUUCGUAUGGAAAAGGAUAGAAUGUUUUCUCCUGAUACUCCGUUCGUUUAUUUGGGCAUGAGGGUGCAGACCAUGGAAACCGGUAUUCUUUACCUGUUGCUCCCGAGCUGGCUGCUCUCAUAGUCGACGACCUCACCGUAGAAGCAUGUAGGUUCGAUAUCAUCGUCCAGAAAGAGGCUGGUUAUCUUCAGCGCAUCUCGCCACAUAACCCCUCCCUUAUGGCUCUCCAGUAUCCAGUUCUGUUUCCUCAUGCUACCAUCGGGUUCCAUCUUGGUAUCAGGUAUCAACAGGUUGAUGGCAUACCAUCGACUGGACGCACCCAGGUGUCCAUGUUUGAGUAUUAAUGUUACAGGUUCCAUUAUAGGAAGGGCGAGCCAAAUCCUUUCACGUGUUGUGGCCGAUUAUCGCAGCAGCUUCUUGUGGAUUGUUACUCCUGUGCUGAGUCAUGCAAAUUAAGUUACCACUUCUGGAAUCAAAGCACGCUUCGGUCCGAGACAUAUCAGGGUAUUUCUGAUGCUCUCGGUGAGGGAAACUCCAGUGGUAAAAAUGUUGGUGUGCAGUAUUUGUUGCACUCGAGUUUUACUGGUGGACCCCGAUACAUGAUUCAGAAUUACCGGGAUGGGAUGGCUAUUUGUCGUGUUUUCGGAGCGCCUGAUCUUUUCAUUACAUUUACUUGCAAUCCUAAGUGGGAUGAAAUAACUGAAGCACUUCUUAUGGAAGCUGGACAACGGCAUGUUGACAGACCGGAUUUAGUUACGCGUGUUUUCAAGAUGAAAAUCAAUGAAUUCACUAGAGAUGUCAGGAGGGGCGAGGCGUUUGGUCAAGUGCAUGCAUAUUUAUACGUUGUGGAGUUCCAGAAAAGAGGCUUUCCCCACAUACAUACCCUUAUGUGGCUGGAUGCUGACACGCAAGACCCGAUGCCUUCUACUAUCGAUUCUUUUAUUUCAGCAGAGAUACUAGAUUAUGCUACAGAUCCAUUGGGGUAUGCACUUGCGGAGGAGUUUAUGGUACAUGGCCCAUGUGGUAAACACAACCCUGAUUCUCUAUGCAUGAAAGACGGUGUUUGCUCUAAACGAUAUCCCAAAGAAUUUAACGAAGAUACUACAAUUGACGACCUUGGUUUCCCGGUGUACCGUCAAAGCAACAACAAUCGGUAUAUCAUAAAAAAUGGUGUUCGACUUGACAAUAGGUGGAUUGUUUCUUACAAUAUGACAUUGCUAAAUAAAAAUCCAGGCUCAAAUUAAUGUGGAGUGGUGUAAUAAAACCAACCUUCUUAAAUAUUUGUUCAAAUACCUUGCUAAGGGCCAUGAUAUGUCAAAGGGCCCGGUUUCAUUCUAUGUAUCAGUCUAUAAGCUCUGAGUGUACUAGAAGAAAUGAGAUAGACGAGUAUGUAAAAUGCAGGUAUUUGUCUGCAUGUGAGGCAUGUUGGCGUAUGUUUGCAUUCGACAUUCAUGUUCGAGCACCUUCUGUUGAAAGAUUGGUGGUACAUCUUGAAAAUAUGAACCAGGUUAUAUAUAGCCAAGAUGAUAACCUUGCUGAUGUUGUUCGUAAUCCCAAUAAGUAUAAGACUAUGCUCAAUGAGUGGUUUGUCGCUAACCAACGGUACACGGAUGCUCGUGAGCUGAUGUUUCUGCAGUUUCCAUCAAAGUGGAGGUGGGACGCAUCAAGUAAAACAUGGCGAAGGAGGAGGCCUCACUUGAAAUUCGGCCCCCCUAUUGGCCGUAUCUGCAACGUGCAUCCUAGCUGCGGAGAGCUUUUUUACCUUCGGAUGCUCCUAACGGUUGUUACUGGUGCUACAAGUUUCAAUGCCUUGAAGGUUUACCAUAGUUAUCCUCAUCCACUGUCUGUUCCCUCCUAUAUGGUCUACUGCGUACCUUCCAUAAAUACAUGUGUAAAAAGCUAUGGUCCUUGCUUCCUUUUCGUAUGGUCGCAUCUGAUUAAAUGGAACAAUUCUAAAUCGAUGCGUGUCAUGUACCUCAACUAAACCAAACUGUUUUCUGUUAUUAUUGUCUCUUCUCAAAAAACAGACUGCAAGUUUCCAACUGUCGUGGGCUACUCAUGCCCUUAUUCUUUUCAUUAUGGCUUUUUCCAUGCCGAAAUUCCUGCUCACAUGCACGCUACUGCUAUUCUAAAUGGAAUUUCUCCUAUUUAGAUAGUACAGAGAG